AAUCCCUCUAGUCGAUGAAAAAUGAUAGGAAGGAAGAGAAGUAAAUAUCUUGCUGGCACUGGACUCUGUUUUCGAAGGAGGGGAGCUUCUAAAGCGUACAAGAAAAGGAGAUCUUCACUAGAAGCAAGUAUCUUUCAAUAUGAAUUCAAAUUUACAGGUUAUAGCAAAAAUGAAGAGCAAGCACAUGGCAGGAACAUUCACCAAAAAGAAGAAAUGUAUAGUCACCGGAGUCUGCAGUGAUGUCCAAGCUUGGCCGGGAAGAGAGAAGGAA